rnacentral:lncRNA from 10 species
AUGCGCGCACUUCUGGACCCCAGGCUGUUCCCACGGCGACUGACACCUCAGACACACGUGGGAGGGGCGGCGCGCUGGCUAUGGGGCUGUGCUGAGUGCGCGCGAGCGUGGCCGGCAGCCACCUGCUACAGAGCCAGCACUGCACUGGGGUCCUGGGGCGGCUCCUCCCGACGUGUCCGCGGGUUGUCAGGUGCUGCCGAGUUGGGCUGGGGGACGCUACAGGUAGUGGGUGCCGAGCAGCGGCUGGCCCCUUAUCUCACUGCCCCUCCCCGCAGCUCUGCCUCCUUGGACCCCACCGUCCCUUGGAAGCUCGCGCAGGGCACCUGUCGCUGUGACCACCUGGACGCAGAAGCUCAGGAUUGGACUUUGUCAGGAAGGUGGGUCACUCCUCUCAGCACCUCAAGCUUGUUUCUACCCCGGUCCCGAGAGCUGCAGAGGCUGGAGUUUGAGUCCCCACCUGAAGGUAAGUUCUCAGUAGGGGAGCGGAGCCUUGGCAGCCAAGUGGAUUUGCGCAAGUGUUAGAGGCCCAGGCAUGCCGGAAGUAAAACAUUCCUGUGAAGAAGAACUUGGCAGCAGGGAGCAGGAAUCUGCUUUGGAAAGCGAGACCCCAGUUCUGAGACCUCUUCACAUAGCUUAGGGCUGAAGCCGGAGGGCCACGUGGAGGGUGGCAGCUCCCAACGUCCGUGUACCUGGGGCCGGGCACGGUGGCUCUUGCCUGUAAUCCCAGCAAUCUGGGAGGCCGAGGUGGGCGGAUCACCUGAGGUCAAGAGUUCGAGAUCAGCCUGACAUGGCAAAACCCUGUCUCUACUAAAAAUACUAAAAUUAGCUGAGUGUGGUAGCAGCUGCCUGUAGUCCCAGUUACUCGGGAGGCUGAGGCAGGAGAAUCGCUUGAACCCGGGAAGCGGAGGUUGCAGUGAGCCAAGAUGACACCACUGCACUCCAGCCUGGGCAACAAAAGUGAAACUCCAUAAAAAACCCAAGGUCCAUGUACCUGAAAUGGCCCCAGCCCGCUUGGGGACAGAGUAAACCUGGGUGGUCACGUCAAGGGAUCAUCUAGGUUUCAAUUGAGUGGAAGCCUUGCUAGGAAGAGAAAGAGGAUCUUGCUUUAGGGAGUGCAAGUUUGCGGGCUCAGGGCCAGAGCAUGUCCCUGGUUCUCAGAGGACAAGCCCGGCCCACGCUGUCUCUGGAUCAUUUGCAAUUCCCAUCAUCCUCUCCUGCCUGCGCAGCCCGAGCGUCCGCUCUGCCCAUCCCACUGGCACCUCCGGACCUGGCUUCUACCACGAUGGAACCAGGGGUGUGCAAGGGAGAGAACACAGUCAUAGCUUUUUAGUUUCUGUUUCUGGUUGGGCCAGUAAAGCCCCUUCCUCAUCCCUCUUUUCCACUUAGCAGUAGAGACAGAAACUAAAAGCCAUGGCCUCAGGCUGCUAAACAAAACCAAAACAACAACAAAAUAAGGUGGGUUGAACAAGCUUGAGUAAAUAAACUCUUACACUAUGUCAAGCCAUAGAAUUUGCUUCCUUUUUUUUUUUAGUGACCGAUUUUGGCUUUCUGCAACCUCCGCCUCCCGGGUUCAAGCAAUUCUCCUGCCUCCGCCUCCCGAGUAGGUGGGAUUCCAGGCGCCCACUAUCAUACCUGGAUAAUUUUUGUAUUUUUGGUAAAGAUGGGGUUUCGCCCUGUUUGCCAGGCUGGCCUCAAACUCCUGACCUCAGGUAAUCCACCUGCCUUGGCCUCCCAAAGUGUUGGGAUCACAGGCGUGAGCCACCACACCUGGCCAGAAUUUGCUUUCUUAACCUGAGUUUUUUGCUUCUCCUUCUCAUGUCAAAGACUAAACAAAAUGGGUGUGAGAGAGACAGUCAGAACUGCCAGGCUCAGUAGAGGGCGAGCUGGCACUCACGCCCAGGGCUCCCGAGCACCAGCCAGGGGCUUCUUGCACUGUUCCACAAUCAUGGCUAAGACUUGCCCCGUCCCACCUUCUCCACCUUCAGCCCUCCCCAUGGCUUUCCUUUCGCCAGGGGAAGGACAUUGAUAGGAGCCCAUGAGGAGAAAACCCAGUAAAAUGCAUGUAUAUUCUUAUGAAAUAUUUGCAUAUGAAACAGCACCAGUUUAUUGUUGAAGAAAUUAGAAAAAAUACGUUAAGAAAAAAAUCCUCAGCCGGCCGCGGUGGCUCAAGCCUGUAAUCUCAGCACUUUGGGAGGCCGAGACGGGCGGAUCACGAGGUCAGGAGAUCGAGACCAUCCUGGCUAAUGCGGUGAAACCCCGUCUCUACUAAAAAAAUACAAAAAACUAGCUGGACGAGGUGGUGGGCGCCUGUAGUCCCAGCUACUCAGGAGGCUGAGGCAGGAGAAUGGUGUAAACCUGGGAGGCGGAGCUUGCAGUGAGCUGAGAUCCGGCCACUGCACUCCAGCCUGGGCGACAGAGCGAGACUCCGUCUCAAAAAAAAAAAAAAAAGAAAAAAAUCCCCCCAGUGAGGUGGCUUAUGCCUGUAAUCCCAGCACUUUGGGAGGCUGAGGCAGGAGAAUCACUUGAGCCCCUAGGAGUUUGAGACCAGCCUAGGCAACAUAGUGAAACCCUGUCUCCAGAAAAAAUACAAAAAUUAGCUGGAUAUGAUAGUAUGUGUCUGUAGUCCCAGCUACUUGGGAGGCUGAGGCCGGAGGAUCACUUGAGCCCAGGAGGCAGAGGUUGCAGCGAGCUGUGAAUGUGCCACUGCACUCCAGCCUAGGUGACAGAGUGAGACCCUAUCUGAAGAAAUAAAACCAACCAAACCAAAAUCCUACCAUGUAAAGAUAAUCAUUGUUAAUAUUCUGUGUGUUUUGUGUUUUCUUCAGAUUCUUUUUAUUUUAUUUUUUGAGAUGGAGUUUUGCUUUGUUGCCCAGGCUGGAGUACAAUGGCGCAAUCUCAGCUCAUGGCAACUUCCGCCUCCCCGGUUCAAGCAAUUCUCCUGCCUCAGCCUCCCAAGUAGCUGGGAUUACAGG